rnacentral:misc_RNA from 1 species
UCCUGGUUUCCCAGGCAGUCCCACCAGAGUGCCGUGAAUAAACACGUAGCAACUGAUGGCAAGGGUUGCGCUCGUUAGAGGACUUAACCUAACAUCUCACGACACGAGCUGACGACAGCCAUGCAGCACCUGUAAUUUUGUCUAAGUAAACUUAGAAGAUCGUAUUUCUACAACUGUCAAAAAUAUGUCAAGCCCAGGUAAGGUUCCUCGCGUAGUGUCGAAUUAAACCACAUGUUCCACCGCUUGUGCGGACCCCCGUCAAUUCCUUUGAGUUUUAGUCUUGCGACCGUAAUCCCCAGGCGAAUCACUUAACGCGUUAGCUACGAUACUGAUCCGACUAUGUCAAACCAACAUCUAGUGAUUAUCGUUUACAGCGUGGACUAC